rnacentral:lncRNA from 1 species
UAUCAUCAUAACUGUCACUUUUUAUUAUUGUUAAAUUAUACAUGGUAUGAUUUGAAAAGUGGCAAUGAUGAAGAACAUGAUCUCUCUCUUAUAAAUAUGAGGGAUUACUAUGUUGUUUUUGGUCUUUGUUUUAUUUUAUUUUUUGUGUUUUUGCUGACCUUGGUAUUUGACAUAAUAAAAGUUACUCUCAACCAGAUUAGUUUUUUUUUUUAACGGUGACUUUUCAUGUUACACCGUCUAAACGGCGACCCUAGCCAAGAUCUGCCCGGACAUGUAAUGGUUUCAAGUAAGUAAUCAUAGGCAAAAACUAAACAUUACAAUUGUUGAUAUCAAAUGAGCAUGUGUAUACAAUGGUAAAACGAACAAAAUGCAUGACCAAUUAGACAGCCAGUUUACAAUCAUGUCUUGAACAUUUGACAGAACUAAUUAAACGAAAGGGCAACAGUAUGUAAAAGCAAAUGGCAGAUAGACACUCUUAACUAAACAUUAGGGAGCACGGUGUGGUUGCGGGGACACACCUCGGGGGGUGAAUUCACCGAUCGGUGAUUCAUACCGGGUGUUUGAGUGGGGAGUAGGAGAGAGAGUGUUUUUUCGGUGUAUAGUGUAUACUCACCGAAGGUGAAGAAGAACAAAGGGAGAGGGGAGAGAGAGAGAGAGAGAGGAGAGAGUAGAGAAGAACCAAUCAAAACUUUUUAUUUUUUAAUUGAGUGGGUGUUUGAACCAUACCUAGUGUUUGAGUAGAAAAUGGGAAGUGAAGGGGGGAGUUGACAUGGCUUUAUAUCAUUGGGUAGAGAAAACUCAAACACCCUAACUCACCCCAACCAUACCGUCCACCCUUAAGUCAUCAAUCAUAAAUAGAUUUGAACUAGGGGUGUUCAAGAUCGGAUAAUCCGGUUUUCGGAUAUCCGAAAAUCGGAUAUCCGAAAUUUCGGAUAGU